rnacentral:ncRNA from 1 species
AUAAAUGCAUUGAAAAAGUAAAGUAGCAUUUUGGAAAAUCACAGAGAGGAAAACAUUGGUGAGAGUUUUCUAUUUAGAAGAAAUGUGAAGUGCACUUUGGAGCAGAAACUCGAAUUAACAGUAGAGUUCUCCGGGAUCACCCGUUAUAGUGAUUAGGCAUGUUAGUGCUGGAAUUUUCGAGUGUAGAUAUAUUUAUUUAUAUCUAAAUUAGAGUGGAACCGCGAGUAUACCUCGUCUCUAUU